UGGCAUCUCCAGCCACCGUCACGCUUCCCUUUCGAAAUUUUUCUACCAGUAUCUCCCAUGGCGGACGAUAUCUCAAGCGCACGUGAGAUACUGAUUCUAGGUCACUCUUUCUUAUCAUGUCUACCAUUUCUGAAGGAAAUUCUUUGAUUAACUGUAAUGUCAGUUGUCGAAUGAGCUCUGGAUCCUUCGAAACCUCCGAUGGAUCUGCUACACGUACAAUUUCUUUGAUGUAGUCACGAUUCGAAAAACAAAGGGAUACAAUUUUGUAGAAGAAAAGAAAAAGAAUGCACCUUGUCUGCCAUGAACUUGGUGAGUGACGAACCAGGAGACCAAGUUAUCAUGAACUGGAAUUCUUCCAAUUGUCUUCUUGUCACCCUUAACCAUUACAAACUCGUUCCCAAAAUUAUGACCACCUGGGUAAACUGUAAAACCUCUAACCCCCGCUAACAUGAACGGCUUUGAUGGUUUUACACCGACGAAAUCCGCGACAACUGACUUUGUUCCAUCACAUCCGAUCAAAACCUGAUUUGAUAAUUAACAGCAUUAAUCGAUAUUCGAAAACUGAUAAAAUUGUAACGAUACAGAGAAGAAAUGAAACGAUCGCGAUCGAGUGGUAGUGUAGAUAUACCUUGGCUUUGAUGGUGCUUCCGCUGUGGAGUUGAAGAGUUGGAUGGGAAGUUAGGGAGUCCAACUUAACCGAGAUUGCUUGGCAUCCAAGGCGUAUGGUACCAACUGGCAAGCUCUCUGCUAGUGUUUCGAUCAGAUCACUCCGUUUCAAGCAUCGUGCUUCCACACCUCUAUCGACACGACAGUAUUUCAUUUAUUGAACCGAUUUCCAACUUCAUUUAUUUCUAACGAAAUUAAAGUACUGACACUCACUAACAUAUCACUCGGUGAACAAAUUAAUGAAAAUAUUUUAUGACUAGCAUUAUUGAAUUAGAUAAUUAUUUAAUAAGAGUUGUUAUUCACACUUUAACAAUGUUGGGCUCGUUUUGGAAGUAUUUCUAAAAUGAAUAACAAUGCUUUUGUUGAAAAAUAUUUUUUUUUGGAACAAAUCCUUAGUAAAAAUGCAAAACACUUGAAGUGCUUCUCAUAGGAAGCACAUAACUAGUCAUUCUUGUAGGAAGCACAAGUGCUCUUGGAACCCGAUUUUUUUCUUUCUCCAACUACGGUUUCAGUCAUUUCAAAAGCACUUCCAAACGAGCUCAUGCACUCCUCUUGUGUAUUUUCUUCCAUAUAUCCUCUUGUAUAUUUUGUCCCAUAUAUUUUCAUAUACAAGGGAUACAAAAUGUUGUUUUUCGAGUGCUAAUAACAUUUUCUAGCAUUAUGUGAAUUAAUUUGUGGGUCAUAUAUACUCACUUACCCAUACGCCAUUUCUUGUUGCUUGCCAUCAUUAAGGUAUAUCUCACGGACUCUAUACAAGAUAAGAGUGUGAAUUAUUUUGUAUCAGAUAGACAAGUUUAAAAAAAUGUAAGGACCCGAGCAAUGUUCGAAUAUAUAGACAUAUGUACCCUUGAAGUGGUUGGGCAGUUUGUCUGAGCUUUGAGGCCACACCAAGCUCAUCCAAGGCUCGCCAACCAUUUGCUCGAAUAAUGAUACCUCCUCCGGUAGCACGCAGGGAUUCUGAUCUUUCCAACACAACACUUGUGAACCCCUUUCUGCAUGAUAUAUAUACAUAACAUAUACAGUGUUACUAUUAUGAUUACUAUUGAAUAUGACGGUUAAAUAUUUUCGGAUUUGAGUGAUUAUUUGUAGAUAUAAUCUUUGAGAGAAUAUCUGAAAGAUGUGUUAGAUAUGAUUAAGGUGAACCUCACAAAUAAUCCUAAAACAUCUUAUUAGAGGAAUUCCUGAACGGAAGGAGACUAUGUAUGUAUUCAUGUAAUUUAUCAUGCUGAUAGUCAACUACAUUUAAAAUAAGCCAUUCACAUGAAGAAUAAAUUUGUAAUGAACUAAUGAUAUAACAGGUAGUGAAAGAUGAAACCUAUGGAGAGCAAGGGCAGUUGCGAGGCCGCAGAUUCCACCACCAACUAUGGCGAUCUCUAACUCUUCAUCUGCUACAUCCAUUUUUUUCCUCUCCUCUCUCUCUCUCUCUCUCAGUGUCUUUGGUUGAAAUAUGCUUUAUAUAUUUUGUCUCCUUCGUUUAACCUUUACUUAGUUAAGCGUGCUGUUUCAAAAUUACCAAAUGUCAAUCGAGUCCUACUAAUAUUGCAUUGCAUUUUCCACACACACACAUAUUUAUAUAUGUGGUUGAUAGUGAAAUGCCUUUGAUUGGCACAUAAAACUAUAUUAUUUUGUGGACUUUUGCUAUCAUGUCAAGUAAUGUCUUCAUUUAUAAAUAAAUAAAAAACAAAUAAAUGGUUCUAUUUCAAAAGAGGUGGCUUUUGUUCAAUUGUCCGGCAAGUCCGUCUAAUUUCUCUUCACAAUUUCAUCAAUAUUGAGCUCAUGACUAACAAGAGGUCCCCUUAGGUUUUGUUUGUGUUUAAAAUUAGGAAACUUCACUCUUUUGGGAGUAAAGUCAAAUUAUGGUAUCUAGUGGGGUUAUUGUGAAAUUAGAUUAGACUUGCAUCAAGUGACACAUGUUUGGCUUACAAGUAUCCAGUGACACCAAUUAUUUUAUGAUAUAUGUUUGUAGAUAUUUCUCAUACUAGUGAGGUUUGGACGGUGGAAUGCAGCAAGUGGCUUCUUUUAAUACCAUUUCCUAAGAAGGUGAAUUUGAAGAAGGUAGAAUCUGAAUCAAGUGGCUUUGCGUUAACACUAUGGUUUGUUCUCUGCAUAUUUGCAGCCAACGAAGAAAGAGGGGACUCUCAAAACAAUCAAACAAAUUUCUCUCUAGAAAACCAAAAGCCGCACUCUUUCCAUUUCAUUGCAAGCUCUUUCAUUUCUUUCAAUUAAAGUCAAUGUGCUCUUUCAUUUCUUUCAAUUAAAGUCAAGGUGCUCUUUCAAUUCAUUAUAGCUUUGUUGUCUUUACAAGUAUUCCUCCAUUUUAAUACAAGUUCUCUCUUCAAAUUUGGUAUUGUCAUUUCAAUACAAAGCAUUAAACAAUUUCUCUUUCUCUUCACCAGUCCCGUAUUGUGAUCGAAUUCUCUACAUAAGUAAACAACUUAAGUUGAGCCAUUCCCACUCAAUGACACAAUCUUUUAGUUAGAAGUUAAAUAGCGCAAUUUUCAUCAUUCAAAUCUCGUCUACUAACAGUAACCAAUAGUGGCACGCUUGCAAUCUUCAAUCUCAUAUUGAAGUAAAUUCCCAGCACACCCACAAGGACCAUGGCGAAUUUAUGGGGCGAACAGGUUCCUUCGGUUUGGUCCAUGAUGUCUGCCUAAGAGAGAUAAUAUAAGUGUAGUUUGUAACAUGUGCAGGCACCAACUUGCUUUACUAAAGCAACAAAAGGUAGUUUUCCAAAAAAAAAGCAACAAAAGGUAUGGUAUCGAUUCAAUCGAUUUUGAUUGUUUGUAACAGUAUGUUCACUUAACUUUUGACGAUCCUUCGCUCCAAACGCUGUGUACUUUGCUUGAGGUAUAUUAAAAAAACUACAAAAGCUUCUUGUAUCGUUUCAUCUACGAAAGCUUCUUGGAUCGCUUCAUCAUCUGUAUCGUCAAUAGGUUUCUUCCCAGUUUUGUUAUUUCCAGUUAUUUAUGUGCUACUUCAAGUCUUGAGGGUGUAUGACUCGAUGCCUCGCGAACAAGGAAAAAGAACAUUUACAAAUUUGCUUACAAUGUGGCCGUGGUUUGUGACAAAGCGGUAUAAUCAAAUUUACGGGAAUGAAAUUUAAAUUUGGUUUCAAGGCACCACGCCUGACAUUAACCAACUGACGGAAUUCAUAUUUUUAAAGACGUCCACAAUCAUAUCGAGUGUGACGAAUUACAUCACUAAAUAGAGUAGCCAUCAAGAUUAAACACACAAAUUUAAGCAUCGACCCUGAAUCUUGUUGCAGCAAACCAAGUAGAUAAGUUUGUGUAGAGAGCAUCACCAAUCUCAUCCUUCUCUCUUUCACAUACUUGUCGAAAGCCUCUCCCACUUCAACCAUCAUUCCAUUCCUUCCACUCCAUUUUUUGUAGUAAUUUUUGGCCAAUGCGGGAGCCAAGCUUCUAGCAAUAACAAUGGCGUCUUCGAUGCCUGCGGAGCCUCCCUGACCGAUGAAAGGCCCCAUCACAUGCAUGGCAUCUCCAGCCACCGUCACGCUUCCUUUUCGAAAAUUUUGUACUACUAUCUCCCAUGGCGGACGAUAUCUCAAGCGCACGUGAGAUACUGAUUCUAGUUCACUCUUUCUUAUCAUGUCUACCAUUUCUGAAGGAAAUUCCUCGAGUAUUGAUUGUAAUGUAAAUUGUCGAAUGAGCUCUGGAUCCUUUGAAACCUUCGACGGAUCUGCUACACAUACAAUUUCUUUGAUGUAGUCACGAUUCACAUAACAAGGGAUACAAUUUUGUAGAAGAAAAAGAAAAAGAAAAAGAA
rnacentral:lncRNA from 1 species